CCUCUCAGAUAAGUUCUUAAUGACACCAUUGAUCUUGUUAGCUAUCUGUAAGGGGAUAAUUCUUCCCAAAUGACCACACGUGUAAGGAGCGUUCUUCCCACUGACCAUCACACUGAUGUAUCAUGAGAUGUAGAUGUAGUCAUUUUGAGACUGGAAAGUUAUUUUAUGGGUUCAUCUGUGUGGAAAAGGUUCAGAAAGGCUGCUCUGGCUUUAUAAGAAGGGGGACUUUUUUUUAUGUCUUCAGCAACCAAACUGCAUUUCUAAAUCAGGAUGCCCAGGCUUAGCUUUACUCGAAUUACUAUUUUCAAAAUCAGCCGGUAGUAGUCAGACGUCUAAAGAAAAUAACAAAGCCUUCAGCUACUAUACUCUCCACAAGAUGGCGAUCCCCAUUAUUUUUCUGCAGAAAGCGCGCAGACAGGAGGUGAUGUCACAUAGACAGGAAAUAGAGAGGAGACAUUUCUGGAACUGGCAGCUGAGGAGAGAGAAGCAUCCAGUUUAGACCACCUGACCGCCUUAGGGAGGAUGGAGGAGGACCAGGGUCACAUUUCAGAGAAGAUCUUGAACCUUACACUGGAGAUCAUCUACCUGCUGACCGGAGAGUUUUUCAAAACAGAAUUUACCUUCGGUGAAGGUUGGAGACCAUGUGACCAUUACAGUGCCUCUACUUCAUCCCCUUACACUUGAGAGAAACAGCAAGAAGAAGGUUUUAGAAGCCACCAAGAAGUUGAUGGAGUUGCUGACAGAAGAGGUUCCUAUAAGGUGUCAGGAUGUCACUGUCUAUUUCUCCAU